rnacentral:rRNA from 1 species
CGUAGGGUGCGAGCGUUGUCCGGAAUUACUGGGCGUAAAGAGCUCGUAGGUGGUUUGUCGCGUUGUUCGUGAAAACUCACAACUCAAUUGUGGGCGUGCGGGCGAUACGGGCAGACUGGAGUACUGCAGGGGAGACUGGAAUUCCUGGUGUAGCGGUGGAAUGCGCAGAUAUCAGGAGGAACACCGGUGGCGAAGGCGGGUCUCUGGGCAGUAACUGACGCUGAGGAGCGAAAGCGUGGGGAGCGAACAGG